rnacentral:rRNA from 1 species
UGGGGAAUUUUGGACAAUGGGGGAAACCCUGAUCCAGCCAUCCCGCGUGUGCGAUGAAGGCCUUCGGGUUGUAAAGCACUUUUGGCAGGAAAGAAACGUCAUGGGUUAAUACCCCGUGAAACUGACGGUACCUGCAGAAUAAGCACCGGCUAACUACGUGCCAGCAGCCGCGGUAAUACGUAGGGUGCAAGCGUUAAUCGGAAUUACUGGGCGUAAAGCGUGCGCAGGCGGUUCGGAAAGAAAGAUGUGAAAUCCCAGAGCUCAACUUUGGAAAUGCAUUUUUAACUACCGGGCUAGAGUGUGUCAGAGGGAGGUGGAAUUCCGCGUGUAGCAGUGAAAUGCGUAGAUAUGCGGAGGAACACCGAUGGCGAAGGCAGCCUCCUGGGAUAACACGGACGCUCAUGCACGAAAGCGUGGGGAGCAAACAGG